GAUGAACGCUGGCGGCAGGCCUAACACAUGCAAGUCGAGCGGUAGAGAGGUGCUUGCACCUCUUGAGAGCGGCGGACGGGUGAGUAAUGCCUAGGAAUCUGCCUGGUAGUGGGGGAUAACGCUCGGAAACGGACGCUAAUACCGCAUACGUCCUACGGGAGAAAGCAGGGGGACCUUCGGGCCUUGCGCUAUCAGAUGAG
rnacentral:rRNA from 1 species